rnacentral:antisense_RNA from 1 species
CACUGCAGAAUCUGAAAAGAAAUGGCAAUGAGCAGAGGUCUCCCACUCUCACGUGGAGGACAGGGUCUGCAGAUGAGUCACAUUGUAGAACUUCACUAUUCACAGAGAAAGCCCCUUCACAUGCAGAAUGUCGCUGGUCUCUCAGGACAAUCCUGUGAGACAUAUUCUUCUAUUGACUAUAAUGAGAACUGUGUCUCUUAAAAAU